AGUGACCUUCAGCUAAAUGACUUGUUACUGCUUUAUUUUCUCUUCACAGGACACUUGAGACAUGAUUACCAUGAGCGAAAGUUUCUGUGUUGCUGAAGAAGUCCGUCAAAGAGAAACACCAUGUGCAUGGAAGGCAAAUCCUUCCCUUGUAAGUUCUUCUCACGUAUGCCAUGGAGAAGGGGUCAUAUAGUACUUUAAUAGGUCUCAUCCCUUAACUGCUAUAAAAACCCAAGCCAUUUUCAGAUCACCCUGGGAAAUCUGCAGCAUCUCCCCAGAAAACAU